ACUACACUGAGCUGUAGUGGUUAUUGUGUCUGGAUUAUUUCUUUAAAUAAUCUACAAGUGCCCCUCCCGAGAUCAGGCUCUGGAUCCGCCACUGCAUCUCAGACUGACCUAGUCUACACCUACACCACAGAACUGUUUAAUAACAAGCUACCAGAAGGCAAGGAGCAAGUAAAAAGUGGGAGGGGCCAAUUGGACAAGCCCCAGUGUGAGGCUGGAAUUAGAAUACAAUCUCAAAGAAACACUAGUGGCUUUAUAAAAAUGGUGUUCAUCCACUAAGGAGUAUACUUCUUGAUGACCAUUGGGAAAAGUCUAAUGUGCCCAUAAAAAAAGUGUGACUCCCCAGGCAAAAUUUGUAACAAGGAAAGUUUUUUUUGCACACAAAUAUUUAAAAAGAAAACAAAUAAGGAAAAAUUAUUCCUGUCUAGUGUGCUAACAGUAUUAGGUAGGAGGUUGGAAAACCAAUUCCUAAAAGCAAAAACGUAUAGAGAUCAUCAGAGAAUGUCCUCAACACAAAAGAAAAUCCACAAUAAAUAUAUGUAGACCAUGACCAGACAACCAUUUUUAACAUUGUGAUACAGGAAAAUGUAGGAAAAGGCCACAAAUUCCAACUCAGAGUCCCCCUCCUAUAACCCCUUAAGGACUGGACUGUUUUUGCGAUGUUGUACAUUUGCGACCAGGCCUCUUUAUACACUUUUCUGGUGUUUGUGUUUAGCUGUAAUUUUCCGCUCUCUCAUUUACUGUUCCCAUACAAAUUAUAUAUUGUUGUUUUCAGGACAAAAGGGGCUUUCUUUACAUACCAUUAUUUAUAUAAUCUCAUGUAAUUUAAUUUUAAAAAAAAUGAAAAAAUAUGAUGAAAAAUUGAAAAAAAUAAAAGAAAUUUUUACUUUAACUUGGAAAAUCUUUUUCUCAUCUACAAAAGCGAAU